rnacentral:rRNA from 1 species
AGUCAUAUGCUUGUCUCAAAGACUAAGCCAUGCAUGUCUAAGUUUAAGCGAUUUAAACGGUGAGACUGCGGACGGCUCAUUAUAUCAGUUAUAGUUUAUUUGAUGGUCGAUUACUACAAGGAUAACCGUAGGAAUUCUAGAGCUAAUACUUGCACUUCAAGGGAGUUUUCUUCCUGCACUUAUUAGAUUUCCCACCAAUGCUCUUUGAGCUUCGGUGAUUCAUAGUAAUUUAGCGGAUCCACAGCCUUUUGGCGCGACGCUUCAUUCAAAUUUCUGCCCUAUCAGUUUUCGAUGGUAGUGUAUUGGACUACCAUGACUUUGACGGGUAACGGAGAAUUAGGGUUCGAUUCCGGAGAGGGAGCCUGAGAAACGGCUACCACAUCUAAGGAAGGCAGCAGGCGCGCAAAUUACCCAAUCCCAACUCGGGGAGGUAGUGACAAGAAAUAACAACAACUAACCUAUAUCAGGUGAGUUGAUUGGAAUGAGUACAAUCUAAACACCUUAACGACUAUCCAU